GCUCAGUCGGCAGAGCACCUCCAUGGUAAGGAGGGGGUCCUCGGUUCAAUUCCGAGCGGAGGCUGUA
rnacentral:tRNA from 1 species